GAUGAACGCUGGCGGCGUGCCUAAUACAUGCAAGUCGAGCGAACAGAUGAGGAGCUUGCUCCUCUGACGUUAGCGGCGGACGGGUGAGUAACACGUGGAUAACCUACCUAUAAGACUGGGAUAACUUCGGGAAACCGGAGCUAAUACCGGAUAAUAUAUUGAACCGCAUGGUUCAAUAGUGAAAGACGGUUUUGCUGUCACUUAUAGAUGGAUCCGCGCCGCAUUAGCUAGUUGGUAAGGUAACGGCUUACCAAGGCAACGAUGCGUAGCCGACCUGAGAGGGGGAGCGGCCACACUGGAACUGAGACACGGUCCAGACUCCUACGGGAGGCAGCAGUAGGGAAUCUUCCGCAAUGGGCGAAAGCCUGACGGAGCAACGCCGCGUGAGUGAUGAAGGUCUUCGGAUCGUAAAACUCUGUUAUUAGGGAAGAACAAAUGUGUAAGUAACUAUGCACGUCUUGACGGUACCUAAGCAGAAAGCCACGGCUAACUACGU
rnacentral:rRNA from 1 species